rnacentral:rRNA from 1 species
CUUGGUCAUUUAGAGGAAGUAAAAGUCGUAACAAGGUUUCCGUAGGUGAACCUGCGGAAGGAUCAUUAUCGAUUUUUAAAGAUGUGCUGGCACUCCUUCACCGGUUUGCAUGUGCACUCUGCAAAAUCUCCUUCUCUUACCCCACUGUGCACACCCAAGUAGACAAACAGAGUUACAGAGCAAUCUGUGUAAUUCCUGAUUUGCCUAUGUUUUUAUCAAACACCAAUAACAAUCUCAGAAUGAUCUAUAUAGUAAGCCUUUAACAAGCUGAAAUUUAAUACAACUUUCAACAAUGGAUCUCUUGGUUCUCGCAUCGAUGAAGAACGCAGCGAAUUGCGAUAUGUAAUGUGAAUUGCAGAAUUCAGUGAAUCAUCGAAUCUUUGAACGCACCUUGCACCCUCUGGCAUUCCGGAGGGUAUGCCUGUUUGAGUGUCAUUAAUCUCUCAACACAAGAAACUUUGUCUCCUUGUGCUUGGAUAUUGAAGGUUUUGCUGGCGCAAACAACUGUCAGCUCCUUUUAAAUGUAUUAGCAGAGCAGUAUAGGACUGGCCUCGGUUUGAUAAGAAACUUUAUCUAUGCUGUCGCUGGGUUUUCCUCUUUGUGCUCAGCUUCAAAUUGUCUUCGGACUGUCUCUUGAGGCAACAAAAUCUCUAUUGAUCGACCUCAAAUCAGGUAGGACUACCCGCUGAACUUAAGCAUAUCAAUAAGCGGAGGA